rnacentral:rRNA from 1 species
UGGAAAAGAACUUGGAAGAGAGAGUUCAAAAAGGGCGUGAAACCGCUUAGAUUAAAACGGACGGAGCCGUCGGGAGCCUCCGGGAAUCAGUCUUCCGAUACGCGAAAGUCUCGUUGUUCGGAGCGUUAAUAGUCCGACUGCGUGGCGCGAGUAACGUUCGUUUGGCGCAUUUCUCGGAGGUAUGCUACGCGACCGAUACCAACGGUCGACGAAGCGUUCGGAUUGAGGUCGAGACUCUUCGGAGACUCGUAACCAGUCCGUUCGUCGUACUAUCGUCGAACCUAGUAGUAUCGAGCGCACCCAUUCGUACGUCGGCUGUAAAGCUCGUCGAAUAACGGCUAAUCGGUCAAUAGUUUCGAUACCUGCUCGCAGGUGCCGAUCUAUUCGAUUCGAUUCAAAAGUUAUCGGCGACGUUACGACGUACGGGCGUCCGCGGUGUCAGCGUCGGCCACCCGUCCGACCCGUCUUGAAACACGGACCAAGGAGUCUAACAUAUGCGCGAGCUAAUGGGUGGAAAACCCAAAAGCGAAAUAAAAGUAAAGACCGUUUCGGACGGUCGAGGUAUGAUCCUAGAUAUCCGAAGCGAUUCUGGGCGCAAUACCGUCCCGUCUCGACCGCAUGUCGGUAGGGCGGAGAUAGAGCGCAUACGUUGGGACCCGAAAGAUGGUGAACUAUGCCUGAGCAGAGCGAAGCCAGAGGAAACUCUG